AGUCGGCCUGCGCGGAAGAUGUAACGGGGCUAAGUAGUAAACCGAAGCUGCGGCAAUGUGCUUUUGCACAUUGGGUAGGGGAGCGUUCUGUAAGCGGUUGAAGGUGUGUGGUAACGCAUGCUGGACGUAUCAGAAGUGCGAAUGCUGACAUGAGUAACGAUAAAGGGGGUGAAAAACCUCCUCGCCGGAAGACCAAGGGUUCCUGUCCAACGUUAAUCGGGGCAGGGUAAGUCGACCCCUAAGGCGAGGCCGAAAGGCGUAGUCGAUGGGAAACGGGUUAAUAUUCCCGUACUUCUUACAAUUGCGAUGGGGGGACGGAGAAGGCUAGGUGGGCCUGGCGACGGUUGUCCAGGUUCAAGUGCGUAGGCUUGAGAGUUAGGUAAAUCCGGCUCUCUCUAAGGCUGAGACACGACGUCGAGCACCUACGGGUGUGAAGUCAUUGAUGCCAUGCUUCCAGGAAAAGCCUCUAAGCUUCAGAUUGUAAGGAAUCGUACCCCAAACCGACACAGGUGGUCGGGUAGAGAAUACCAAGGCGCUUGAGAGAACUCGGGUGAAGGAACUAGGCAAAAUGGUACCGUAACUUCGGGAGAAGGUACGCUCUUGAUGGUGAAGUCCCUCGCGGAUGGAGCUGAC
rnacentral:rRNA from 1 species